rnacentral:antisense_RNA from 1 species
GGCAAGUUAGUUGCUCCAAAUACAAGAUAAAGUGAUUGAGUUCUUUUCUCAAGCGGGAGUCGGAGUUUAUCCACUCUUAGAGCCCCAGCAGCUACUAUUAAUGAGUGUCUGGAAUAUGUUCCUGGCAUUUCACCUACACUCUCUCCAAUCCUUCCAAGAAACUCACAAAGCAGGGCUUUUUCUUGAACUUCUCUUCCUCACAACAGUUAAAUCAUCCAUUUAAAGAUGUCAGACAAGCUCUGUGUUCUAAGAACUGUUUACUGAGCUCUAUGGAGACAUAGCUACAAGCACCACAUAAGAGUGUCCAUGUUUUUCUUGCGUGUAAAACAGAAAUUGAAAUGCAAAAGCAGAUUGCAAAAUCCUAAUACUCACUCACAGAACACUAGGAAAGCAAAAACUGGCAUAUUAUGGGAACUAAAAAUGAGAAAGUGUUCCAUACUAUACUUAUUGGAACACAAUGUACAACAAAAGUGCUACUGAGAUUAAUAUAAAAAAUUAGAGUUAAGCAACUGGCAUGUUUCAUGUAAACUUCAAAGCAGUAAAAUCAUAUUUCUAGAGGCAUACUAUAAGUGUGAUUAUUUUCAAGAAAUCCACUGCAGAAAAUGUGGAUCAAUAGAGGCAACAGAAGAUCACAUGUGAUAUGAAGUAGGACAUAUUACAAAUUCCCUAGGCAAUUAAAAUGAAUAGAACUUUUCUUAAAAGCCUAACAAAAAAGUUAAUUCCUUUCUAAAUGAAAUAAAGUAGAAAUGUUUCAUC